CCCUUAGAUGUUCUGGGCCGCACGCGCGCUACACUGAUGCAUUCAACGAGUCUAAAACCUGCUCUGAUAGGGGUGGGUAAUCUUUUGAAUGUGCAUCGUGAUUGGGAUAGAUGAUUGCAAUUUUUCAUCUUCAACGAGGAAUGCCUAGUAAACGCAAGUCAUCAGCUUGCAUUGAUUACGUCCCUGCCCUUUGUACACACCGCCCGUCGCUCCUACCGAUUGAAUGAUCCGAUGAAUAUCAUGGAUUUAGGAUGCAAGUAGGUUCGCCUAUCUUCAUCUUCGAGAAGUGAAGUAAAUCUUAUCAUUUAGAGGAAGGAGAAGUCGUAACA
rnacentral:rRNA from 1 species